rnacentral:rRNA from 1 species
CCUACGGGUGGCAGCAGUGAGGAAUAUUGGUCAAUGGGCGUAAGCCUGAACCAGCCAAGUCGCGUGAGGGAUGACGGUCCUAUGGAUUGUAAACCUCUUUUAUAAGGGAAUAAAGUGUGGCACGUGUCCUUUUUUGUAUGUACCUUAUGAAUAAGGAUCGGCUAACUCCGUGCCAGCAGCCGCGGUAAUACGGAGGAUCCGAGCGUUAUCCGGAUUUAUUGGGUUUAAAGGGUGCGUAGGCGGCCUGUUAAGUCAGCGGUGAAAGUCUGUGGCUCAACCGUAGAAUUGCCGUUGAAACUGGGAGGCUUGAGUAUGUUUGAGGUAGGCGGAAUGCGUGGUGUAGCGGUGAAAUGCUUAGAUAUCACGCAGAACUCCGAUUGCGAAGGCAGCCUGCCAAGCCAUGACUGACGCUGAUGCACGAAAGCGUGGGGAUCAAACAGGAUUAGAUACCCUGGUAGUC